rnacentral:rRNA from 1 species
UACAGAGACUGCAAGCGUUGUUCGGAUUCACUGGGCGUAAAGGGUGCGUAGGUGGUCGGGUAAGUUUGAUGUGAAAUCUCCGGGCUUAACCCGGAAACUGCAUUGAAUACUAUUCGGCUGGAGGGUUGGAGGGGGGACUGGAAUUCUCGGUGUAGCAGUGAAAUGCGUAGAUAUCGAGAGGAACACCAGUGGCGAAGGCGAGUCCCUGGACAACUCCUGACACUAAGGCACGAAAGCUAGGGGAGCAAACAGG